rnacentral:rRNA from 1 species
GAGUAAUGCGUGACCAACCUGCCCCAUGCUCCAGAAUAGCUCUUGGAAACGGGUGGUAAUGCUGGAUGCUCCAACUUGACGCGUGUCUUGUUGGGAAAGUGUUUAGUGGCAUGGGAUGGGGUCGCGUCCUAUCAGCUUGUAGGCGGGGUAAUGGCCCACCUAGGCUUCGACGGGUAGCCGGCCUGAGAGGGCGGACGGCCACAUUGGGACUGAGAUACGGCCCAGACUCCUACGGGAGGCAGCAGUA